UUCUAAAUCAAGCAGGAGAACCAGCUCAGCUGGGGGGUUCAAGCCCAGACUCGCAUCCUGUGAAGGAGUCCAGCCUUUUGCUCGCCGGAGCGUUUUAAACGAAGGACCGGCUGCUCUCCUGUUACCAGGUGGGAAUUGGGAGCGCUGGCAUCUAUCCCCGGCUCAAAGUGAGAUUCCUUUUAAGAUUCGUGUCAACACUGCUGAGAACCGGGAUUUCUGUGAGCAGUUCCCCGGGGUGGGAGCUGGGCGGGAUGCGGGAGCCGCAGCCGUGCACUGCCCGCCGCCGUCGCUAAAGGGAGCUCCAGGCUCAGAGCUCGGCUCUGCCUCCCGCUUCAAAUGUCACCAAACCCGUUCUCUUCCCUCCUCCACUAACCAGGUUACAGACACUGAUUAAGAGUGCUAUAUAAUCUUUGGAUUCAUCUGUCCAACAAUCAUCUAAUUAAUUAAUCAUUGAUAAUUAAAAUGACCUUCUUUUGACUGAUACCUGAUCUCAGAAAAGUUCAAAAGAAACUUGACACAUGUUGUGUCAUGUUCCAGUAUAACCCAUGACAGCUUUACCCCUCCAUUGUUUUAUUCAGAGCAAAUUGUGAUCCAACUGCAGGAGGGGCUGUCCUUAUCAGCCAGGGCUGCCAUGGCGCACGUGCCUCAGCACGGGGUACAAAUACACACACCCUGGCUCCCAGUUCAGAUGACUCUGUCCAUUGGUGAGCAGCUUGUGAAAGCCCUUCAAAACUCUUCAGUUAGCCAAGGGUUUAAAAAAAGAGGAAUAAAGUAUUCAUGCAUUUUCAUGGUUUUCACAUCUUCUGGGGGAAAAAGAAGAAAAAAGAAGCAUAUGUUGAAAUUCAGCCACUGAUAUUUGCUAAGAUUUAUGAAAAAAGAGUGGUAAAUCGACUGGGGUCUGCAUGGAGGAGUGGUAGACGUAUUUUCCUCUGCCUUGCUUCUCAGUGGGAUGCUGAAUGUCUUUUUCUCACAAUUAAUACAGCAGAACAUUUUGCUUUAAGGAUCUGAACAACUUUGCUCCCUCUCAGCCUGAAGUUAUACCCUUAAUAUUAGGAGAAUGUGGGCUUUUCUCAGGGUUCUUUAAGCCCAGUGUAUGUUACAUAAAGUCCUUUACACACAUGGCACAAAACAUUCUUUCACUUGUGUCUCUCAACAUUUGUAUUUGUGGUCAACUGAGUAGUAUCUUUUGUGUGCUGAUUCCUACAAAAGAAUAAUACUAGUCUGUUUUGUCUGUUGACAAGAUCUUCAAAUCCUACUGCCCCUCUGACACAUUAAAACAGUGCAUUUCUGUCUAGUUUUAUUUUUAUGAUACGAGGAUUUAGCUAAGACUUUGACACCAUGGAAACUAGACACAGGACACAAUCCUGUUCUAUCUAAAUAUAUCCCCUGACUUUCAAUCACACUUGCCUCUUUUAUAUUUCAUGAAAACCGCUCUUUACCUUCCUCCAUCUAGGCAAGUUUUUUUGGCCAGCAGGAUCACCUUGGGCCCACUCUUAGCUUUCAUCACCAGCCAUUACCACUUCAAGAGAGAAUCUCAUGCACUGAGUGGAGGGGAGGCAAUACAAGAAAACAGGCCCUGAAAUUUGAUGUAGCAUCACUGAGAUAAUUCUCAAAGAAAUUGAAUGUUAAAUGGAAAGCAACUUUUACCCCUCCUAAGUGCCAAAUGCAACUUUAAUUAAGCAAAGCAGAUCAGCUUUUUCCUUGUGCUGUAACAAGAAAGGACUGUCCCUUUCUUAACCCACCAGCUCCACUAUAGAUCUUUGGUAUUUUCUAUUACUGUCCUUGGGCAUUAGUUUUUCAUGGCUAGUUACAGCUCACAAUCAUAACGCUCAUUUAUACUUCUUAUCUACAGGGCUACAACAUCACCACUACUCUUUUUUUAAGCCACCAAAUUAUCCCUUCGUCAUAGCUCACAGAGGUUCUGCUUGAGUAAAAGAGGUGGGAGGGACAAGCUUGAAAUGCAACUUGAUGAAAACACAUUUCCCAUUUCAGUGUGGAGUCAGAUAGCUGCACUUCUGGAGACAAAAAAGCUAUACCUGUCUCUUAAAACCAGCUUUGUGGACUGAUGUGGAUUUUCCUCCCACUGUGAAAUCAGGACACAAAAUUGAGGCCAGAGUCAGGAAACUUAAUGUAGUUAUCAGGUAGCCCUGGUGGAAGCAUGGGUGCACACAGUCCUCAGAAUGCAAGAUGGAGCUACCUCUCCAUUCCUUUCUACCAGACACAGCAAAAAGCCCUAGGAAGGCCAAAAAAAAUUCCCGUCCAAAAAAAAUUGAGUAUUUCUUCCCACCACGGGCUGGCUGGCUAUUUUUGAGCAGCUUGUUUUAAGUGUCAACAUGUGUUAUUUUGCCUGGCCAAGACAAGUGAGCUGAUAGCUGAAUGAAUGAAGCAGGCAAGACAUGCAGGAGGAGUUAGAACAAAUGUCUUAAAUUUUUGAGCCUGUCUGUUUUGCCACUGACCCAUGGAGUGAGGAGCUGUGUCAGCUAAUCACCUAGCUGGCCACUGCCGACAGACAAAUACCUCGUGGUGACAUCUGAUGGGAGUUGUUACAAAGCACCAACAUUUCAGGGCUUUGAGCCGAGGCUGAGCCAGCGCCCAGCAAGUGCUCAACAACACACAUGCAAAACACCCAAAAGUGUUCAGAUGAAUUCCUUAAAGAGUGUUUACUUGGGCAUUUUUAUCCUAAACCAGUGAUGAUAACUAACUGAUUAAUGAUAUCACAGCCAUCAAAAGCGAUAGCUUGUUUUCAAGGAGCAUCCAACAAUAACUUGCUGCUUUUACGGCUUUAAUUGUAAAAGCAAAUAAUUACAUCCUUUUCAAGGCUUAAAGAGAAUUGCUUGCAACUGUAAACAGAAACUAUGAAAAUUCUCCAGCACAAUACCCAUUUUUAAAUGGCCACUUUUCCUAAAAAAAAAAAAAAAAAAAAAAAAAAGCUUGUAACAGCUCUGUUUCAGGUACAUAUUCAGGAACUAAUUACUGAUAUGGACAGUACCCAGAUCAUCAGAUGAGGCUCUGCUCAUCAUCAGGGUGUCUUGACCCAUGGAUGGAAUUGGCCCACAAAAUUUUUUUUUUAAUCAUGUGCAAUGCUGGCCACACUGGGAGGAAUGCAGAUGACCUCAGGACUGAGUCAGUUCCUCUGUCAUUACUCUACAAACCACUGCAGUGGCUGGUUCAUUUUUCUUCUUUCGAGUUCCCCUCCCAGCAUCUGAUAAAUCUCAUAUUCUUUGUGCACUGUGAAAUAGGGACCCAUUGCAAACUCUGGAUGCAAAUCAUACAGGAAGGCAAAGUGUGAAUGCAGCUCUGUUUGCCUCACAAACCUUUUAUAUUCUGAUGGAUUUUGGUGCCUGGGAUUGAUCUCUAUGUAAGGUGCACAAACAACACACAGGUCACAAAAGACCAUCCAACAAAUAAACCUAUUUACUGAUACCUUCCACCUGACACAGUCAGCAAGGUUUUUACAUCAGCUUUGUUCUAGCCCAGCUUCUCCAGGGUCUGACCCAGUCUCCCCCAAAGUGGCAACAGAACCAGAUUUAACUGGACUAGAGUUGAAUGGAGCUUUGCAAACAUAAGUUACAACCCAUUCAGUAAACAAAGUUUGGUAUCAAAACUGAAGCACUUUAAAAGUCCAUUUUUAGCUGCUUACAAAGGAACAAGCUUGCCAACCUGUGAGGUAUGAAGUGUAUGUGGAGUGUGGAACUACACCAAAAGUCCCUUUCACAUCAGCAAUCUUAAGCACUCAGCAAUGAGCAUUGUUGCUUUGAAUGUUUCCAGCUCCUGAAGCAAUUCCAGGCAGACAUGCUGACAAAAGAAUAAUUUUAUCAGCAUAUGGCUGAUCACAGCAUCCAAUUCCACCAGUAUGAAAUGGCCCCGUAGUGCACACCAGCAUUUCUGCAUACAAGUGAAACAGAUGCUGCAGAGAUCAAUGUAAGAACAGCUUAAUUAAUUUUAGUGUCAAAGUGCUUCCUUAUUUCCAGUUGACAUGUCCUUAAUUUCAUGGUUGGCUCUAUAAAUUUUAGAAACAGGAGGAGAAAUUUGAUUUGAGGGUUAAAUACUGCAGAAAGGCCUAAUAAAAUGCAAGAGAAGCACUCCUUCAUAGUAUUCAUAACCUUGAAGCCAUAGUACUGUCCAUUGUCCUCAGUUUGUUAUGAGUGUUCUACAGUCACAGUUUCAUUUUCACAGAGCACAUCCCUUACUCCAAGCAGUCCUCUGGCAUAAAAGUGUAGUAGCAUCCUGAAGCUCCAACCCUGGGACAAGAUCCCAUUGCAGGUGACAUGCUGGGCUAGGAAUCAAGAGACCUCACUCCAGACCUCACUCUGCAAGCAGUGUUUUCUGUUGGACAUCCUGAGAAUCUAUUUACCACUAAAAAAUCUCAUUGCAUCAGAGCAAGAUCUUUUAUCCCUCAGCACUGGUCAACAUUGUACAGCUCCUACUCCAAAAUGGUGUUCAGCAGAUGAGCUGGACAUGUGGAGGAGAGGAAAUGUGUCCUUGGACAAAUUAUUUUAUAUUUCAGGUCGCCAAUAGCACCAAGCACUAUCUGUAUAUUACAGGAGUGGAAAGGCUGCAUGUCCUGCAUCUCCUGUUAGUGCCCUCCUGUCCAGCUCCACAGAACAGACAGGGGAAAAACAGCACGUUAAAUAAAAACACAUUCAAAAAGGAAAUAUUGCAC